rnacentral:SRP_RNA from 1 species
GCUGGGCGUGGUGGCGGGCGCCUGUAAUCCCAGCUACUCCGGAGGCUGAGGUAAGAGAAUUGCUUGAACCCAGGAGACGGAGGUUGCAGUGAGCGGAGAUAGCGCCACUGCAAUCCAGCCUGGGUGACAGAGCGAAACUCCGUCUCAA